rnacentral:rRNA from 1 species
ACGGGGGCAACCCUGGUGGCGAGUGGCGAACGGGUGAGUAAUACAUCGGAACGUGUCCUGUAGUGGGGGAUAGCCCGGCGAAAGCCGGAUUAAUACCGCAUACGCUCUACGGAGGAAAGGGGGGGAUCUNAGGACCUCCCGCUACAGGGGCGGCCGAUGGCAGAUUAGCUAGUUGGUGGGGUAAAGGCCUACCAAGGCGACGAUCUGUAGCUGGUCUGAGAGGACGACCAGCCACACUGGGACUGAGACACGGCCCAGACUCCUACGGGAGGCAGCAGUGGGGAAUUUUGGACAAUGGGCGAAAGCCUGAUCCAGCAAUGCCGCGUGUGUGAAGAAGGCCUUCGGGUUGUAAAGCACUUUUGUCCGGAAAGAAAACCUCCGCCCUAAUAUGGUGGGGGGAUGACGGUACCGGAAGAAUAAGCACCGGCUAACUACGUGCCAGCAGCCGCGGUAAUACGUAGGGUGCAAGCGUUAAUCGGAAUUACUGGGCGUAAAGCGUGCGCAGGCGGUCCGCUAAGACAGAUGUGAAAUCCCCGGGCUUAACCUGGGAACUGCAUUUGUGACUGGCGGGCUAGAGUAUGGCAGAGGGGGGUAGAAUUCCACGUGU